CCUACGGGGGGCAGCAGUGAGGAAUAUUGGUCAAUGGGCGAGAGCCUGAACCAGCCAAGUCGCGUGAAGGAUGACGGCCCUACGGGUUGUAAACUUCUUUUGUCAGGGAGCAAUUGGGUCCACGCGUGGGCUUAGCGAGAGGACCUGUAGAAAAAGCAUCGGCUAACUCCGUGCCAGAGGCCGCGGUAAUAGGGAGGAUGCGAGCGUUACCCGGUUUUAUUGGGUUAAAGGGGUGCGUAGGCGGAGUAUCAAGUCAGCGGGAAAAAUUCGGGGUUCAACCCCGUCGUGCCGUUGAAACUGUUGUUCUUGAGUGGGCGAGAAGUAUGCGGAAUGCGUGGUGUAGCGGUGAAAUGCAUAGAUAUCACGCAGAACUCCGAUUGCGAAGGCAGCAUACCGGCGCCCAACUGACGCUGAAGCACGAAAGCGUGGGUAUCGAACAGGAUUAGAUACCCUAGUAGUC
rnacentral:rRNA from 1 species